GGAAGUAAAAGUCGUAACAAGAUUUCCGUAGGUGAACCUGCGGAAGGAUCAUUAUUGAAUGAAACACUUCUGGCUUUAUGCUGUUGUGCUGGCCCUUUGGGCAAUGUGCACACGGCUCUGGUCACUUGUUUCUUCUGUUCCACCUGUGCACUGCCUGUAGACACGCUGUGUCUAUGAUAUUUGUUAACACACAACAAUGUUAGUUGGCAUGUUAUAUAUAAUAAUAAAAUAUACAACUUUCAACAACGGAUCUCUUGGCUCUC
rnacentral:misc_RNA from 1 species